AAGCUCGUAGUUGAAUUUCGGAAUCAAAUUACUGAUUGUGCUAUGGUACAUACUGGUUUUAUUGAUUCUUCCCUUCUGACGAACGCCAUUAAUUUGGUGUCAUGGGGAAUCUGGACUGUUUACUUUGAAAAAAUUAGUGUGAUUAAAGCAGGCUCACGCUUGAUGAAAUAACGAAAUAGGACGUUUUGUUGGUUUCUAGAAUUGACAUAAUGAUUAAUAGGGAUAGUUGGG
rnacentral:rRNA from 1 species